UACACGACUAGCUCAAUUGGAUAGUAGCAGCACCCUACGAAGGUGAAGGUUCGGGGUUCGAGUCCCUGGUCGUGUGCCAA
rnacentral:tRNA from 1 species